CUGACAUGGAAUCCUGGACGCCCUCUCGGGAGGCAGCUGGCGCGGAGGGGGAGGGGGCCAGCCAACCCCGCCACCCAUGGGUAUUUCCAGCGCUACCUUGCAGGCAGGAAAUACCACCGGCAUGGGGGAAAUCUACCCGCCUGGCCUCCGACUUCAAAGCCACACGCGCACUUUUGCCUCUUCGCACACCAUUGUGAAGGCACCCUUCCACGCCCAAAUGCAGAAUUGGCUUUUGUGAUAAUAAUUUGGUUUCAGGGGGAAACCCGGGAGCCCCCCCACCAGAGGGGACGUGACGCCCGGGACUCGCAGCCCGAAACCAGCUGGGGGGAGCCGGCCUUGGGCUGUGGACGCAGACACAGAGACCCCGGAGAAGAAAACCUUGCCAACGACUCGAGGGGAGUCAGACUGGGAGACGUGAAAUUGCGUUGACUAGACUGAGCAGCGAAGGCAUAAAGUAUUUUAAACGGAUAAUUCUUGUCACCGUGUCCAGGGUGGCUUCUCGGGUGGAGCAAGAAGGGAGCCGGCAGGGGCAGGGUGAAGGGAGCUCCCGUCCACCCUGCACUCUUCACAGCUUUUGAGUUUUGUAUAUAUAUUACUCGAGAUA